UUGAAGAGUUUGAUCAUGGCUCAGAUUGAACGCUGGCGGCAGGCCUAACACAUGCAAGUCGAACGGUAACAGGAAGCAGCUUGCUGCUUCGCUGACGAGUGGCGAACGGGUGAGUAAUGUCUGGGAAACUGCCUGAUGGAGGGGGAUAACUACUGGAAACGGUAGCUAAUACCGCAUAAUGUCGCAAGACCAAAGAGGGGGACCUUCGGGCCUCUUGCCAUCGGAUGUGCCCAGAUGGGAUUAGCUUGUUGGUGGGGUAACGGCUCACCAAGGCGACGAUCCCUAGCUGGUCUGAGAGGAUGACCAGCCACACUGGAACUGAGACACGGUCCAGACUCCUACGGGAGGCAGCAGUGGGGAAUAUUGCACAAUGGGCGCAAGCCUGAUGCAGCCAUGCCGCGUGUAUGAAGAAGGCCUUCGGGUUGUAAAGUACUUUCAGCGGGGAGGAAGGGAGUAAAGUUAAUACCUUUGCUCAUUGACGUUACCCGCAGAAGAAGCACCGGCUAACUCCGUGCCAGCAGCCGCGGUAAUACGGAGGGUGCAAGCGUUAAUCGGAAUUACUGGGCGUAAAGCGCACGCAGGCGGUUUGUUAAGUCAGAUGUGAAAUCCCCGGGCUCAACCUGGGAACUGCAUCUGAUACUGGCAAGCUUGAGUCUCGUAGAGGGGGGUAGAAUUCUAGGUGUAGCGGUGAAAUGCGUAGAGAUCUGGAGGAAUACCGGUGGCGAAGGCGGCCCCCUGGACGAAGACUGACGCUCAGGUGCGAAAGCGUGGGGAGCAAACAGGAUUAGAUACCCUGGUAGUCCACGCCGUAAACGAUGUCGACUUGGAGGUUGUGCCCUUGAGGCGUGGCUUCCGGAGCUAACGCGUUAAGUCGACCGCCUGGGGAGUACGGCCGCAAGGUUAAAACUCAAAUGAAUUGACGGGGGCCCGCACAAGCGGUGGAGCAUGUGGUUUAAUUCGAUGCAACGCGAAGAACCUUACCUGGUCUUGACAUCCACGGAAGUUUUCAGAGAUGAGAAUGUGCCUUCGGGAACCGUGAGACAGGUGCUGCAUGGCUGUCGUCAGCUCGUGUUGUGAAAUGUUGGGUUAAGUCCCGCAACGAGCGCAACCCUUAUCCUUUGUUGCCAGCGGUCCGGCCGGGAACUCAAAGGAGACUGCCAGUGAUAAACUGGAGGAAGGUGGGGAUGACGUCAAGUCAUCAUGGCCCUUACGACCAGGGCUACACACGUGCUACAAUGGCGCAUACAAAGAGAAGCGACCUCGCGAGAGCAAGCGGACCUCAUAAAGUGCGUCGUAGUCCGGAUUGGAGUCUGCAACUCGACUCCAUGAAGUCGGAAUCGCUAGUAAUCGUGGAUCAGAAUGCCACGGUGAAUACGUUCCCGGGCCUUGUACACACCGCCCGUCACACCAUGGGAGUGGGUUGCAAAAGAAGUAGGUAGCUUAACCUUCGGGAGGGCGCUUACCACUUUGUGAUUCAUGACUGGGGUGAAGUCGUAACAAGGUAACCGUAGGGGAACCUGCGGUUGGAUCACCUCCUU
rnacentral:rRNA from 1 species